rnacentral:tRNA from 1 species
GGUUUUAUAUUCAAGUAUGAUUUUAAAUUGCAAAUUUAAAGGUGCAUAAAUUGCUAAGGCUU